CUUUCGAGGCGAGCGCAUCAACGAGUCAAAACCCUAGAUCAUCAACAAAUGGGGCUUAUUUCUUUAAGUAGAAAUCCUGUAGAAAUUCAGAAGGAUCAGCGAUUCAAUCGGUGUCUCAGAUAUGAUGCCCAUACGUUUCAUCUUAUUCUUUUUUUACUUACUGGCGAUUUUUUAGAAUUUUCUUCGUAUUUCGGUAAAUUUCAAAGGGUUCUUGCUAAAUUUGAUUCAUUUUUCGAGUAAAAUUAUUUGAUUAGUGCAAAACCUUGAUUUUGUAGUUGACUGCAGUCAAAUUUGUUUAAAAAGAAUUGUUCUUUCUGAAACCUGUAAUUUUUCUAAUUACCAAAAAUAGAGUAGUAAUUAUUAUAACGUUAGCUGGAAAGAAGUGUACAAAUGUGUGCAUGUGUGUGUUUAUGUAUGAUAUCUGCAUGCAUGUAUGUAUGCAUGGCUUGUGCAUGUCUUAGAUGUCUAAACCUUUGUAUACAAUAUAAACAGAGAGUUUAUAUAUUGCAUAUCUCCUCAAUUUCUGUUUUCAAACCGUUCAACUCUUUCAUUUUCCCUCUCUCUGUGUUUCUAUUUUUUGUCUGUUCAAGAACAAGAGCCCAUAUCUUCUUCCUCAAUUGCUACUGUUUCAGGUAAAUAACUCCAAGCUCUCUCUUUUAUCAUUCUUUUCUUGAGAAACUAUUUACUAGUAGUAAAAGUAGCUUGAAUUGGGUCUUUGGGUUUUUAAUGAAUUGAAUUAUAAGGUGAUGAUUGCUGGAGUUUUUAGUCUCCGUUCUUGAAAAUGUAAUCAAAUGGUUGUUUUUUUUUAAUCAAGAAUCGAUGGAGGAUAUGGGGUUGUCCUUGGAACUGGAACUCAUUUUUUCGAACUAUUCUGUCUUUGUCUGUUUAAGAACAAGAAACCCAAUUCGAAGAAGCCAUAUCUUCUUCCUCAUUGCUACUGUUUCAGGUAAAGAACUCAAAUCUCUUGUUGAACAAUUGGGUUUUUUAAGGAAUUGUGUCAUGAGGAGAGGAUAACUGGAGCUUUUUUACUUUUGUUCUUAAAAUUUUGUUGUAAAUUGUGACAUGGGUUCUUCUCCAAAACUGAUUUCAUAACUGGGUUUAAUCUGAUCUUUAUCAUUUAUGCAGGAAAGUACCAUUUGGCUCAUUUUUCCUGAGGUGCAUUGGUUUCUUUUCAAGAAUCAAUGGAGAUUCUCGGGGGUCAAAAUCUUCUCGAUCCUCCUCACUGUCACAAUUCCAUUCGACAAAUGGCUGCCAUGAAUCGGUUUCUCGAAAGAAUUCGGUCAUCUUAGGGAAGGGUUUUGAGCUGUGAGGUUUGUGUCAAGGAGAAGAUGGAUAAACCACCAAAAGAGAGGGAGCAAGAACUCUUGGAUGAGAAGUUUCUUUGUGUUUGUUUGGAUUGUGAGCAAAUCUUUUGCGGAGACCAUAAUUAUGGGCUUAAUUGUCAUAUGUAUUGGCAUGCAAAAAUCACUGGUCAGCAGUUGGCAGUUCCUAUUAGGGCACGGUGCUCUGUAUGUGAGUCUCUUCUGCCGAUUAGAACAAAGGAGGAGGAAGGAAACAAGAAGGUAGAAUUACAUAAGGAUAUCAAGGAAGAAGCAAAUGUCGUUGAGGAAGAAGAAUCCAUGGAGGAGGGGAACGAGAAUGUAGAAUUACCAAAGGGCAUCAAGGAGGAAAUGAUGCUCGUUGAGAAAGAAGAGUUCUCAGACUUGCCUUCUACAAAAGUUGUCAGAAGGAUGAAAAACUUUGGGAGUACUUGCUACUAUAACUCAGUCCUGCAGAACCUUCUGUCUAUGAAGCGAUUGCGGCUCUAUUUUCCGAAAUCAGGUCUCAACCCGGAUCAUCCUAUCACCAGCGAUUUAUGGAACCUCUUUCUUGCCACAUCAUAUGGAGAUGCUGAUAUAGAAUCAUCUCAUAAGAGUCUCUUUGAUUCCAUUUGUUCAAUUAAACAAAAAUACAAGGAAAAUCAACAGCAAGACUGCCAUGAAUUUCUCGGACACCUUCACGAAGUGCUCAUGCUAGAAAAUAAUAGUCUUAUACCUGAUGUUUUUGAAGGCAUCUUCGCUGUUACUUUAUCUUGUUGUCAAUGUGGGCAUACUAAUACAUCGCAUGAGAAAUUUUAUGAUCUUUCUCUGUCGCUUACUUUAGAGGAACGUUCAGCUGUAAAAGAUGAAAGUUUUACAUGGAAGUAUAAUGUGCUUCCCGCAAGAGAAAAUUAUGAUGGUCGGAACAGUGGAUCUUCUGCAGUUAAAGCAGAUAAUGCAGAGAUUUGUAGUAUUUCAGACUCAUCAGAUAGGUGUUCUUGGACAUUGACAGGUUAUAUUGGUUACUGGCUUGAUGAACAACAGAGUGUCAUUGUGGAUUUGGACAAAGAAGAAGAAAAGGAGGAAGAAGGAGAAGUACCAGCAGCAGCAAAGGUUGGCAAAGAAGACUCAAUCAAAGAUAAAGAUGCAAAGCUAGACAAAGAAGACUCAAUUGAUGCAAAGGAAAACAAGAAGAAGAAGAUGAAGACAGAGAACCUAAAGAAAGAAGAAAAGGAAGAACCGAUAAAAGAUGCAAAGGAGAAGGAAGAAAAGGAAGAGGAAAAAGAAGAGAAGAAAGAAGAAACGAAGAACGAAGGUCCGUCAGAUUGUUGUGGAUGGCAUCCUUGUAACUGCAAUAUUGAUUCAAGUGAAGUUCCAAAGCUACCUGAAACUGAGCGCAUUUUGUUGACUGACAAAGAAGACCAGAUUAAAGACAAAGGUAUUAAAACACCAGAAAACUUUCCUGAAUCGAGUAUGAAGGGUAGCAAUCUGAAUCUUGCUGGCGAGUCCCUGUGGCCUUCUUAUUCUGAUGUAUCAAGUUCUCUUCCUGGGUCUGUGCUGGUGUUUGACUAUGAUGCAUCAUCAAGUAGUGAUAGCUGCGCAUCAUCAAGUAGUGAUAGCUGGUCCCCAGAAUUAACUGAUUUUGAUUUAUGGAGUUGUGGAAUUCUAAACAAACAUCCUCCUACUGUGAGCAAAAGAUGCAGCUCUUUUGUGAGUUCUAUGAGUAACAACAGUCCUUUAUCAAUCGAGAUGUGCUUGGACUUGUUCACAGCUUCAGGACGUAUUUCACGUGAAUGUGACCAUUGCCCAUAUCAUCUGAAGGAUACAAACUCAGGACCCCAAAAUGUCAAAGCAAUCAAAACUGACCGUAUCUACAGGGCGCCGCCUAUCUUGACGAUCCACUUGAAACGAUUCGAACAGGAUGCACGUGGCAUCACUAAGAAAAUAGAUAGCCAUGUCAGCUUUCAAGAAGUGCUUGAUCUCACACCAUACAUGGAUCAUAGUUCUGGAAAGAGAAAGGAGACCCUCUAUCGUCUGCUAGGUGUUGUGGUGCACAAAGGAAGAAGCAUGGAUACUGGUCACUAUAUUGCAUAUGUGAAAGGAGCGCAAGGCGAGGGUUGCGGCGCAGUCGUCGUUGAAGGAGAAGAAGGAGGUGGUGAUCCUCUCUGGUUCAAGGCCGACGAUAAUGUUGUGAAAAGGGUCUCUCUGGAGGAAGUACUCAGGAGUAAGGCGUAUCUUUUGUUCUACGAAACUAUGUGAUCACCUAAAAGACAACGAUAUUCUGUGAAAUUCUGAUAGCAAGGGAGAUUUUAUUGGAUCUUGCACUUGUAUGAGAACGAGUUCUUUUCGAACCAACAUAAUGGUGAAAAUUUAGUCUCAGCCUAAUUUUUCCUAAAUUUCAAUGCAUUCUUGAUCAAGAACCUGUGGUGUCUUUUGUUGAUUAAGAAAAUCUCGAUCAAGAACCUAUGGAAAAUGUCAAGGAUCAAAACUCUUCCAAACCUUCCCACCGUCAUUAUGUUAAAAAUUGCCCGCUUAGGGAAACAGUUGAAGGUCUCUGGUCUUCUGCAGGCGGGGUGUUAAACUGUGAAGAAUGUCAAAAGCAAAAUACUCCAAGUGGAAACUAUCUUAUUGCUUGCUUGAAUUGCCACAGAAUCCUCUGCAAAUUUGACAGUGGUUCUGGGUUUAUUGGUCAUAUCAAGGACCAUGAAAUUUAUUGCGAUGCAAUAAAAGAUUCUUGGUUGGGUACUGUCCUGGUUGGUAAAUGGUGUUAUGCCUGUACUUCUUUUCAACCAAGCGAGAAAGUGGAGAA